UGAGGAAUAUUGGUCAAUGGGUGCAAGCCUGAACCAGCCAUCCCGCGUGAAGGACGACUGCCCUAUGGGUUGUAAACUUCUUUUGUAUAGGGAUAAACCUACCCUCGUGAGGGUAGCUGAAGGUACUAUACGAAUAAGCACCGGCUAACUCCGUGCCACCAGCCGCGGUAAUACGGAGGGUGCAAGCGUUAUCCGGAUUUAUUGGGUUUAAAGGGUCCGUAGGCGGACUUAUAAGUCAGUGGUGAAAGCCUGUCGCUUAACGAUAGAACUGCCAUUGAUACUGUAAGUCUUGAGUAUAUUUGAGGCAGCUGGAAUAAGUAGUGUAGCGGUGAAAUGCAUAGAUAUUACUUAGAACACCAAUUGCGAAGGCAGGUUACCAAGAUAUAACUGACGCUGAGGGACGAAAGCGUGGGGAGCGAACA
rnacentral:rRNA from 1 species